rnacentral:lncRNA from 1 species
AUACAGUUUCAUGGAGAAUAUAUAUCUAUAUAUGGCUGCUGAGAGUGCUUCUGGAUCUGUUGACCAGGAGUUCAGUCUGUACCUCAAACUUACCAGUGGAAAACAUGAUGGAGAACAUAAGACAACAUUGCUGUUUUAUUCACUCUUGCAGUUCUGUCUGAACCAAGGGAAGAGCUGUCUUGUCUACCACCUGGAUCACCUGGCAACAGCAAAGCUACAACUGAGGUAUGACCUGACCCAUCCACCAUUAUGAGUCAAAGAACCUCCAAGACACUGCUGAGUUCCUUCUGAAUUGGCCAUCCAUUGCUGGGCAUGGGGUCUAACCUCCAGAGUGAUUUGCUUCCCCAAAGAGACUCCCUUGGAGAAAUCUAACUUUUCACUUGCAAAUGAUUAUCAAUUGGAGAAAGCUUCUGGGUUAAGGAUGGAUGUGUGUAUCCAUUUCCACUCUUAGCACUGGGACCCCAUCUGGUGCAGACAUGUAAAAGUCCUGUAUAUACUGCCACAGUUUCUGUGAAUUCAUAUGUAUGCCAGUCACUCCAUGUAUAGAAGAUUUUGUUUCCAUGGUGCCUCCUGCCUCUUCUACUCCUCCCACUUUCUCUUCUGCAAGUUCCCAGAAGGGAAGCAUAAAUACAACAGAAAUGGUUAGAAGAUGAAGGAGGAGGAGGAGGAGGAGGAGGAGGAGGAGGAGGAGGAGGAGGAGGAGGAGAAGAAGAAGAAGAAGAAGAAGAAGAAGAAGAAGAAGAAGAAGAAGAAGAAGAAGAAGAAGAAGAAGGUUAUUAUAAAACAAUCCUUGAAAACAUAGAAUCUGGCCCCAGUGGACUCAGAAGACAGAAGAAUUCAAACUGGUGGCAUUUCUGUCCUUAAAAGAAACAGGAAUGAAACACUCUACAUAUGCAAGAACAUCCAUCCACCAUGAGCCUCUCUUCUGAAGGGUCCAUAGGAAGGUGAGGCAGAGAAGCAUGGCUGCCUGCAAUGCCAGGUUUGAAUGGAAUGCAAGCCACAAGAGUCUUUCCUUGAGAAGUUAACUCCCCAAUUUGAGAUUAGCUCCUGUGGUUUGGCUGGCGACACGGUAGAUGUUUAGCAAGCAAUAACAGACAUUUCCCUUUCAUCCCCAGGCAAUACAGCACCCAAACCAAAAAGAAAAAAAUAAAGGGGGUGGGGUGGAGCA